UCAAACUCUCAUUGAUGGCUCCUUCACAGCUUCGGUUGAAAUAGGUUGCCUCCCACUACAAAAAAGAAUUGCAAUGGCUUCACCAGUUUGCAUCGGCGAGAAUUUGCCGUCGCCAUUGCUUAUGCUUUAACUUCGGCAAAACUUCGCCGUCGCAAGAAUAUAAGAAUUAUGCUACACAGUUGAUGUGCCGUCGCAAUAAGGGUGGCAAAACCUGCUACUGCAACCAAUUGCCGUCGCAUAAGGGCAUGAGACGGGAGACAGUCGCAAAGUUUUAUCUUUCUUCUACGAAACUCUGACCAACAAAAAUGUAAAAAACUUCGCUCCCUCUCACUUCCUUUAUCUUUUUCCGUCUUCUCUCUCCUUCCGUUGCCAUAACCCUUCCAUCAUCCAUAUCACCAUGACCUUGGAAUCCACCGUCAGUGUCUUUACUGUUCACUCCAUUGCCACGCACCAUCGCCAGGACGACCUCUGCCACACCUUCAUUUACCGGUUUCCUGUAUAUGAAAUUCCACAUCCAUCAUUUCGACCGGAACCUCGUGAAGAGAGAUCUCAUACUCAAUUCAAUGGGCAUUUGACUAGCCUCUCAGCUACCCGUGAAUCUACCUCGCUGAUCUAUGGUCUCUAUCUAAUCUAGGGUUUCUAAUCCAUGUUCCAGAUUUAGUUUCUUUUUUUUUCUUUCUGUUUAGGUUCUUUUUGAUUCAGGGUUGUAUGAUAAUGGUUUGAGUUUAGCUCUUUAUAUUCCAAAUUUGAUUUAAAGACUUUAUGAAUCCUGUUUCUUAUUCUUAAAUAGAGGUAUGAUUCAUUGAUUUUGACUUGGCAUGUCUAAUUGAAGCCAAGGGCUUGGGUGGCGUUUAUGAGAAAGAUGUGAGAAAGGCUCUUAAUAGCAGAUCUCAGAAGCUGAGGUGAAAAGGGUCAUUGGCAUUCUCAUGGGUGAGUUAAUAAGCAAGAUUCAAUCUUUUUCAUUGACCUAUUGUCUAAUUAGUGUUGCAAGUUUAGAACUUUGAGAUUAUAUUGGAAUGUUUCUGUUCGAUUUUUUGGGACGCGUAUCUCACUAUACUUGAAGCACAACUCAAAAACUAUGUUGUAAUUCUGAGAAGUUUGAUUUCAAAAAUAUUGAUUUGGAUCUUUUAUUGUGUAUGUAAAAUGAUACUGAAACUUUAGUGCAUUGAGGGAUACACAAAUCUCCCUUAUAUAUUACCAUGGUUCUCAAGUCUGGUAAGAUGUAUGUCUGGUGAUGUUUCAAGGAUUGCAUCAAUGGAAGUUGGGUGAAAAUCUUUGCACCUAAUCUACAAUCUAUUACUUUGUGCUCUAAUGCCAUUACUGAAAACUGUUCAAUACAGAGCUUUCCUAGGCUCGAAAGAUUUGUCAUGUGGUCUUGGAAUAGAGGUCCCAUAUUACAAAGACGAAGAUUAAUGGUGCUGUCGAUCUUCUUAUUGGUUCAUCUCAAGUUGAAGUUCUUACCAUAUCUUAUAAGUACCUACAGGUUAACUUACCUAUCUGUACAAUUUUGAUCAUGCUAGCUUCCUUCUGUCAGAAAUUUAUUUUGAACUAGGUGGUCUACCAUUCUUAUUUAUGAAACUUGAGACUUUGAGGAUUAAGAAUCCCUACUGCAGGUUGAACAGAAGAUAUAUCCCAGAUAUAGCAUGCAUGUUCAAGAGCUCUCCCUUGUUUUAGCGACUCUUUCAAAGGAAAACGAAAUUAUGUGCUUGUGAGCUAAUUAGAGCUGGAUGACAUAAAGGAAAAAGCACUUGAACAGCAGCAAUUUGAGUUCUGUAUUAUGCAUUAACAAUUUCUACGGUCAUCAUUGAAUUGUACUGAGGAUUAGCAUGAUAUGUCAAGUCAUCAUAUGCAAGAUAAGAGUCUCAAGCACUUUGUGUAGGUGUUCAUUGAGACGUGAUGGAACUUGUGGAACAUAAUCCAUUGAGGCAAUCCUAUUGGAUAUGGUUCAGGUAGAGGAUUACUCACAGCAGCCCCCUAUUCAGGAACUAAUUGGAAGGGAUCUUCAUGAUAUAUAAUGAAUGGAAAUUCAGACAUAUUUCGAGGAGGCUUGCAACAACACUGGAGUAAUUGGUACAUGAAGUAGAUCGAGGAAGAUCCUUGAAAAGUUCAUCUUGAAGUAGAGGAAAAUAACUAACUUGUAAAGCUUAAUUAUCGAUCUUGUAAAUUUUGGUAGAAGUUUCAUUCAUGAGGAAAAGUAAAGUGUAACAUUUCCUUUUAUAUAAGCUUCAUUCCUUUUUGUAUAGUUUUCAUUCAUUUUAAAAAAAAAAAAUCAAAAUUUUUUUUA